UAACGCGUGAGCAAUCUGCCUUUCAGAGGGGGAUAACAGCCGGAAACGGCUGCUAAUACCGCAUAAUGCAUCGGAUUCGCAUGUUUCUGAUGCCAAAGAUUUUAUCGCUGAAAGAUGAGCUCGCGUCUGAUUAGCUAGUUGGCGGGGUAACGGCCCACCAAGGCGACGAUCGGUAGCCGGACUGAGAGGUUGAACGGCCACAUUGGGACUGAGACACGGCCCAGACUCCUACGGGAGGCAGCAGUGGGGAAUAUUGCACAAUGGGGGAAACCCUGAUGCAGCGACGCCGCGUGGAGGAAGAAGGUCUUCGGAUUGUAAACUCCUGUUGUUGAGGAAGAUAAUGACGGUACUCAACAAGGAAGUGACGGCUAACUACGUGCCAGCAGCCGCGGUAAAACGUAGGUCACAAGCGUUGUCCGGAAUUACUGGGUGUAAAGGGAGCGCAGGCGGGAAAGCAAGUUGGAAGUGAAAUCCAUGGGCUCAACCCAUGAACUGCUUUCAAAACUGUUUUUCUUGAGUAGUGCAGAGGUAGGCGGAAUUCCCGGUGUAGCGGUGGAAUGCGUAGAUAUCGGGAGGAACACCAGUGGCGAAGGCGGCCUACUGGGCACCAACUGACGCUGAGGCUCGAAAGUGUGGGUAGCAAACAGG
rnacentral:rRNA from 1 species